rnacentral:rRNA from 1 species
AACGAACGCUGGCGGCAUGCCUAACACAUGCAAGUCGAACGAGACCUUCGGGUCUAGUGGCGCACGGGUGCGUAACGCGUGGGAACCUGCCCUUAGGUUCGGAAUAACUCUCCGAAGGGGGUGCUAAUACCGGAUAAUGUCUUCGGACCAAAGAUUCAUCGUCUUUGGAUGGGCCCGCGUUGGAUUAGCUUGUGGGUAGGGUAAAAGCCUACCAAGGCGACGAUCCAUAGCUGGUCUGAGAGGAUGAGCAGCCACACUGGGACUGAGACACGGCCCAGACCCUUACGGGAGGCAGCAGUGGGGAAUAUUGGACAAUGGGCGAAAGCCUGAUCCAGCAAUGCCGCGUGAGUGAUGAAGGCGUUAGGGUUGUAAAGCUCUUUUACCCGGGAUGAUAAUGACAGUACCGGGAGAAUAAGCUCCGGCUAACUCCGUG